GUCGCUAUUUGGGGCUGGAGAGACAACUCGGCAUUUGAGAGAGAUGCUCCUGCAGGGGAUUCAAGUUUAGUUCCAAACACCCAUAUUAGGCAACACACAGCACAAGACUACCUGUGAUUCCAGCUCUGGAGGGCCCACUGCCUGCCAGCUUCCUCAGGGACCCACACACAGAUGCCCACACCCACACUCAGCCAAAUCUUCACCAGACGAUGGCCGAGAGCCAUGCCACUGGAGCAUGCAGU
rnacentral:lncRNA from 1 species